rnacentral:rRNA from 1 species
UGGGGGAAUAUUGCACAAUGGGCGCAAGCCUGAUGCAGCCAUGCCGCGUGUGUGAAGAAGGCCUUCGGGUUGUAAAGCACUUUCAGCGAGGAGGAAGGUGGUGAGCUUAAUACGCUCAUCAAUUGACGUUACUCGCAGAAGAAGCACCGGCUAACUCCGUGCCAGCAGCCGCGGUAAUACGGAGGGUGCAAGCGUUAAUCGGAAUUACUGGGCGUAAAGCGCACGCAGGCGGUUUGUUAAGUCAGAUGUGAAAUCCCCGGGGCUCAACCUGGGAACUGCAUUUGAAACUGGCAAGCUAGAGUCUCGUAGAGGGGGGUAGAAUUCCAGGUGUAGCGGUGAAAUGCGUAGAGAUCUGGAGGAAUACCGGUGGCGAAGGCGGCCCCCCUGGACGAAGACUGACGCUCAGGUGCGAAAAGCGUGGGGAGCAAACA